rnacentral:rRNA from 1 species
UGGGGAAUAUUGGACAAUGGGCGAAAGCCUGAUCCAGCAAUGCCGCGUGAGUGAUGAAGGCCUUAGGGUUGUAAAGCUCUUUUACCAGGGAUGAUAAUGACAGUACCUGGAGAAUAAGCUCCGGCUAACUCCGUGCCAGCAGCCGCGGUAAUACGGAGGGAGCUAGCGUUGUUCGGAAUUACUGGGCGUAAAGCGCGCGUAGGCGGCGUUUCAAGUCAGAGGUGAAAGCCUGGAGCUCAACUCCAGAACUGCCUUUGAAACUAGAACGCUAGAAUCUUGGAGAGGUCAGUGGAAUUCCGAGUGUAGAGGUGAAAUUCGUAGAUAUUCGGAAGAACACCAGUGGCGAAGGCGACUGACUGGACAAGUAUUGACGCUGAGGUGCGAAAGCGUGGGGAGCAAACAGG